GCCGACGAAAGCUAAAUUCACGUUUGGUUUGGUAAACUACGUAUGAGGUUAGGUGGUGGUGUGUAGAAGAGGUGUGACGUCGUGUUGGUUUCGUUACGUUUGCAGGCUUCGUUAGUUUCUAAGAUUUUGUGUUGAUUAUAUUAAAAUGGUCCCAGAUGACUAAAUUGGUUCCAGAUUAAACCGGUGGAGAGGCUUCUGAUACUGGAGUACUGGAAUAUUGGAGUGGGCACUUGAGGACGUAACGUAUAUUUAAUAUUCAAUUAAAACUGAGUGAAUCCAGGGGGAAAGGUUGACUACACGUUCAUACUGUCUUGAAAGCGUUAAGGCACGAGAAUUCUCCCAGGAAAUGGCUUACCACAACGCUAAUAAGUCUUGAAAGCGACAAAAUCGCUAGAAUUAGUCGCGAAUAUUAGUCUUCAAAGGAUUCUCUAGUGCUUGUGCACCAGUGCUAUUAAGCAUGACAUCUUAGUUUGGCCGUCUAAAGUUCUUGAGAACUGAUGGUAAUAAAUCUUUUAAUUAUAUUUAAUAUACA